rnacentral:rRNA from 1 species
CCCGACUGCUAUUUGGGUGAGGAUAAACCAUGCGAGUUGAAUGGGAUACCUAAAUAUCCCAUAGCAAACUGCUCAGUAACACAUGAUCAACUUACCCUAUGGAGAAAAAUAACCUCGGGAAACUGAGGAUAAUGUUUCAUAGUUGAAUAGGCUUGGAAAAGUUUUUCAAUGAAAGGGAUAAGAAAAAUGGUUCUUAUUUGCCAUAGGAUAGGAUCGUGGUCGAUUAUGGCUGUUGGUGAGGUAACGGCUCACCAAGCCGAUAAUCGAUAGGGGCCGUGAGAGCGGGAGCCCCGAGAUGGGUACUGAGACAACGACCCAGGCCUUACGAGGCGCAGCAGGUGCGGGACCUCCGCAAUACACGAAAGUGUGACGGGGUUACCCAAAGUGUUCUAUUUAGAACUGUGGUAGGUGAGUAAUGUCCCCUACUAGAAAGGAGAGGGCAAGGCUGGUGCCGGCCGCCGCGGUAAAACCAGCUCUUCAAGUGGUCGGGAUAAUAUUGGGCUUAAAGUGUCCGUAGCCGGUUUAGUAAGUUCCUGGUAAAAUCGGGUAGCUCAACUAUCUAUAUGCUAGGAAUACUGCUAUACUAGAGGGCGGGAGAGGUCUGAGGUACUACAGGGGUAGGGGUGAAACCUUAUAAUCCUUGUAGGACCACCAGUGGCGAAGGCGUCAGACUGGAACGCGCCUGACGGUGAGGGACGAAAGCCAGGGGAGCGAACCGGAUUAGAUACCCGGGUAGUCCUGGCCGUAAACGAUGCAUACUAGGUGAUGGCACGGCCAUGAGCCGUGUCAGUGCCGUAGGGAAACCGUUAAGUGUGCCGCCUGGGAAGUACGGUCGCAAGGCUAAAACUUAAAGGAAUUGGCGGGGGAGCACCACAAGGGGUGAAGCCUGCGGUUCA